rnacentral:rRNA from 1 species
UACGGAGGGUGCAAGCGUUAUCCGGAUUCACUGGGUUUAAAGGGUGCGCAGGCGGCCAAGUGUGUGAGGCGUGAAAGCCCGGGGCUUAACCCCGGAAUUGCACCUCAAACUACAUGGCUAGAGCAUUGGAGAGGGUAGCAGAAUUCAUGGUGUAGCAGUGAAAUGCGUAGAUAUCAUGAGGAAUACCAGAGGCGAAGGCGGCUACCUGGACAAUUGCUGACGCUCAGGCACGAAAGCGUGGGGAGCAAAAGGG